CUCUAACUUGAAAGUUUGUGGGUCUACAUGAUGUUUUCUACAUCUCUAUGCUUAAAUGGUACCACACUGACCCUUCUCAUAUCAUUCAUCACUAUGAGACGCAAGUACAAGCCGAUAUGACUUAUAAGGAAUGCACGUCCCAUUCGCACCAGGCACAGGGUCGGUCUACGCGCGCGUCUUAUCGUGCGCAGGUAUGCAAGUUCGCACACAUCACAUCGCACACGGCCAAGGCCAAGCACUGCGCACCUGUGCGCGUGUCAUUUGCGUAGUAGGUCUACACAGAUAGGCCUGCUCGCAGCGCCCUGUGCACUGUAGGCCCUGUACGCAGCAGGGUAAGCCGACACCUGCAGUGCACAGUCGGCCUGGUAAGGCACACUACUACCUCGGGUAGUGUGACAUCGCCCCAUUGGGCACCGUGCGCUACCUUCAAUGUGCUGCCGUCAUCUAUGGAGGAUUCUUUCUCCGUUUUUCAUGUCUCCGUCGCAUUGCGUCGUGUCAAAUCGCUCAUCUUCCACUCAACUCUCUCUCUCCUUACCGAAUUUUGCCACUUUGUGCAAAUCCAACAAUCUCCAUUUGCUAAAAAUAGGCACCCAUUUAUUCCAUUUCCUCAUCACUUCCAUUUCAUUCUUUCAUGCUCCAAGAGCUUAGAGAGAGAGAGGGAGUGAUCUAUAGAGAGAAGGAGAAAAGAAGAAGAAAAAUGUGUAGAAAGCUUUGAGGUUUCGGUAAGGAAUUUAGUAUUUCCUUAAACAUCUUAAGGAGCAUUUCUAGAAAAAUAAAAAAUUAUAAAGUUUGUGUUUUGUGCUCGUAUGUUUAUGUUAUAUAGUUCCAAUAAAGUGAUUUA
rnacentral:lncRNA from 1 species